rnacentral:rRNA from 1 species
AGAGUUUGAUCCUGGCUCAGGAUGAACGCUGGCGGUAUGCUUAACACAUGCAAGUCGAACGGGAUGCUUAGGCAUCUAGUGGCGGACGGGUGAGUAACGCGUGAGAAUCUGGCUCCAGGUCGGGGAUAACAGUUGGAAACGACUGCUAAUACCGGAUGUGCCGAGAGGUGAAAGAUUUAUCGCCUGGAGAUGAGCUCGCGUCUGAUUAGCUAGUUGGCGGUGUAAGGGACCACCAAGGCAUCGAUCAGUAGCUGGUCUGAGAGGAUGAUCAGCCACACUGGGACUGAGACACGGCCCAGACUCCUACGGGAGGCAGCAGUGGGGAAUUUUCCGCAAUGGGCGAAAGCCUGACGGAGCAAUACCGCGUGAGGGAGGAAGGCUCUUGGGUCGUAAACCUCUUUUCUCAAGGAAGAAGAAAGUGACGGUACUUGAGGAAUAAGCAUCGGCUAACUCCGUGCCAGCAGCCGCGGUAAUACGGAGGAUGCAAGCGUUAUCCGGAAUGAUUGGGCGUAAAGGGUCUGCAGGUGGAACUGAAAGUCUGCUGUUAAAGAGUUUGGCUUAACCAAAUAAAAGCGGUGGAAACUACAGAACUAGAGUGCGGUAGGGGCAAAAGGAAUUCCUGGUGUAGCGGUGAAAUGCGUAGAUAUCAGGAAGAACACCGGUGGCGAAAGCGUUUUGCUAGACCGUAACUGACACUGAGGGACGAAAGCUAGGGGAGCGAAUGGGAUUAGAUACCCCAGUAGUCCUAGCCGUAAACGAUGGAUACUAGGCGUGGCUUGUAUCGACCCGAGCCGUGCCGGAGCUAACGCGUUAAGUAUCCCGCCUGGGGAGUACGCACGCAAGUGUGAAACUCAAAGGAAUUGACGGGGGCCCGCACAAGCGGUGGAGUAUGUGGUUUAAUUCGAUGCAACGCGAAGAACCUUACCAAGACUUGACAUCCUGCGAAUCCCGGUGAAAGCUGGGAGUGCCUUAGGGAGCGCAGAGACAGGUGGUGCAUGGCUGUCGUCAGCUCGUGUCGUGAGAUGUUGGGUUAAGUCCCGCAACGAGCGCAACCCUCGUUUUUAGUUGCCAGCAUUAAGUUGGGCACUCUAGAGAGACUGCCGGUGACAAACCGGAGGAAGGUGGGGAUGACGUCAAGUCAGCAUGCCCCUUACGUCUUGGGCUACACACGUACUACAAUGCUACGGACAGAGGGCAGCGAGCCAGGGAUGGCAAGCGAAUCCAGAAACCGUAGCUCAGUUCAGAUCGAAGGCUGCAACUCGCCUUCGUGAAGGAGGAAUCGCUAGUAAUUGCAGGUCAGCAUACUGCAGUGAAUUCGUUCCCGGGCCUUGUACACACCGCCCGUCACACCAUGGAAGUUGGUCACGCCCGAAGUCAUUACCCCAACCGAAAGGAGGGGGAUGCCUAAGGUAGGACUGGUGACUGGGGUGAAGUCGUAACAAGGUAGCCGUACCGGAAGGUGUGGCUG